rnacentral:tRNA from 1 species
GGGCUUGUAGCUCACUCGGUUAGAGCGGCACACUCAUAAUGUGAAGGUAGUAGGUUCGAUUCCUACCAGGCCCA